GGGCUGCAGUGGGGGAAGAGGAGCUAUGACCUGUGGUACGCUUCCUCAUAAAUGUUUAACAACUUGUUCUUCACGGAGAAAAAAGGCCUACUUGAAAUAUUUGCUGGUUUUUGUGGAGUGAAUCCUCCCUCCAUGGCCAAUUUCAAGCUACCAAGGUGAAGUCAGUGAAGGUGGAGUUGGGAAGAGACGCGGAGUAGCACAGCUUUAUCUAUGAUUUCCAUCACACAAACCCAAUGGACCAAACACCACUAACACCAAACUGCCUGAGUUGCAGAACCUGCCCUGCCGUUUCAGACUUCUCUGCCUGUAAUCCAUCAGCCACUUCAUCCUUAAAAACCCAGCUCAAAGCUCACCUCCAUCAGGAAGCAUCCUCAGCCCCCAGAAAUAAGUGGUCACUGAACACACAGCAAGAUAGAUGGUAGCCACCUAUAAGCCAAAAGAAGAGGCCUCACAAUUAAACCUAUCUUGCUGGAACCUUGAUCUUGAACUUCCAUCCUCCAGAACUGUGAGAAAUAAGAUUCUGUUCUUUAAGCCACCCCGUCUAUGAUAUUUUGUUAUGGCAGCCUGAGUUGACUAAUAUAUAUAAUAUGAAUAUAUAGUAAUGUAAUAAUUAUAAGAAGAAGAACGUACUUUGUGUGUUCCAGGCAUUGUUCUAGCCAUUUUGUAUGGAUUAGCUCACAUAAUCUUUAAAACAACACAUGCUGUAGCUACUAUUGUCUUCAUUUAACAAAUAAAGCAACUAAAGUUCAGAGAGAUUAUGUCUUUCUUUUAGAAAUGAUGAACCUGAAGUCGAUAAAGGUUAAGAAAUGCACACAAGUCACACAGCAGACUUGAGGUUUGUGACUUGGCUCUGUGGGGCUGUAUGCCCUUUGCUCCUAAUCCCUACGUGACCCGGUGCCUGCCCUAAAGGGGAUUAAAACCUUAAUGUCCCAUUCAGGGCUGCUGAAGAACUUUGGGAUGUUUUGCUUGGAAAUAUGUGGUAGCUGCCUCA
rnacentral:lncRNA from 1 species